GCAGCAGCCGCGGUAAUACGAAGGGGGCUAGCGUUGCUCGGAAUGACUGGGCGUAAAGGGCGCGUAGGCGGUUUGUACAGUCAGAUGUGAAAUUCCUGGGCUCAACCUGGGGACUGCAUUUGAUACGUGCAGGCUUGAGUGUGGAAGAGGGUUGUGGAAUUCCCAGUGUAGAGGUGAAAUUCGUAGAUAUUGGGAAGAACACCGGUGGCGAAGGCGGCAACCUGGUCCAUUACUGACGCUGAGGCGCGAAAGCGUGGGGAGCAAACAGGAUUAGAUACCCCCGUAGUCCCUGUCUCUUAUAC
rnacentral:rRNA from 1 species